rnacentral:rRNA from 1 species
GCUUGUCUCAAAGAUUAAGCCAUGCAUGUUCAAGUAUAGCAAGUGUACAGUGAAACUGCGAAUGGCUCAUUAAAUCAGUUAUAAUUUAUUUGAUAGUGAAAUUGUACAUGGAUAACCGUGGCAAUUCUAGGGCUAAUACAUGCGUCAAUGGUCGGUCGACCAGUAUUUAUUAGAUACAAUCAGCCCCCUCGGGGUCAUGAUGAAUCAUAAUAACUGAACGAAGCGCAUGCUCACGCGGCGCUGUUUCAUUCAAGUUUCUGCCCUAUCAGCUUUCGAUGGUAGGGUAUUGGCCUACCAUGGCGUUAACGGGUAACGGAGAAUUAGGGUUCGAUUCCGGAGAGGGAGCCUGAGAGAUGGCUACCACAUCCAAGGAAGGCAGCAGG